ACUUGGAGCCGGUCUCCAGGGCAGAUCUUCCGGGCGACUCGCCUUGUAAGAAAUUAGAAAAUGCUACAAUAAAAGCUUAAAAACUGAAAAAAAUGGGGCAACUUUUAGAAUGACAGCCGUCAUUUUGCGUCCGGCGUAAACGCGCACACGCCCCUUUGGAUGGAAGUGACCGAAAGACGGCGAAGUAGCUCAGAUCAUUCAUGGAAAGCCAUCUUCUUUAUUAAAAAUGCCACUGCUAGUACAACACAAGAAAUCAUAUGGCAGUAGAGUAAGCAUCAGCCAGAGGCGAUAACUCCUGGGUGGAUUCAGCUUCAGCGCAGAUUCUUCAGCAGGAAGAUGAAGUGAGCCCCUGUAUGGAGUGACUCCCCAGGAAGAGAAAACGAGCUGAAUGGAG